UCCUUGCAUGCAGGGGUUGGGCCUUCCUCAAGGCCCUGGCAGAGAUAAGAUUUUUUUACCUUUUUUCUUGUUUCCCCUUUUUGUCUGUAAUCUAUUUUCAAUAAUUUGUUGUUUGUUUUUCUAGAUGAAGCCUUAUAGGUUGGGUCCAGUCUGGAUCAGGAAGUGCUUGGGACCAGCUGCAGUGUGGAUGGGCCGUGCCCUUGGAGAAGGCUGAGGACAUCGUUUGGGACCAGCUUUUCUUCCAGCAGGGGAGGGCGUGAGCCGGGCUCUGCGGGUGCUGAGGCUGCUCUGGGCUCUGCCAGGGCUCUGCUGGAGCUCAGCACCAGGCUGGAAUCAGCCAAAGAAGAAAUGGUGUGACCUGCAGCACAGACUUGCUUGAGCAUUUUGGCAGCACAGCUCAAGUUUGCAGAGUGUACACCUCCAUGGGAAAAGAUGACACCCCCCAAAAAAUAAAUUUGUUCAAUAACUUCUGAAAUGAAAUCAA